rnacentral:rRNA from 1 species
UACGGGGGGGGCAAGCGUUGUUCGGAAUUACUGGGCGUAAAGGGCUCGUAGGCGGCCAACUAAGUCAGACGUGAAAUCCCCAGGCUCAACCUGGGAACUGCGUCUGAUACUGGAUGGCUUGAAUCCGGGAGAGGGAUGCAGAAUUCCAGGUGUAGCGGUGAAAUGCGUAGAUAUCUGGAGGAAUACCGGUGGCGAAGGCGGCAUCCUGGACCGGCAUUGACGCUGAGACGCGAAAGCGUGGGGAGCGAACAGG